rnacentral:rRNA from 1 species
UACGGGGGGGGUAAGCGUUGUUCGGAAUUACUGGGCGUAAAGGGCGCGUAGGCGGUGUGUCAAGUCAGGCGUGAAAGCCCCGGGCUCAACCUGGGAACCGCACUUGAGACUGGCACGCUCGAGUUCGGGAGAGGAUGGUGGAAUUCCCAGUGUAGAGGUGAAAUUCGUAGAUAUUGGGAAGAACACCGAUGGCGAAGGCAGCCAUCUGGACCGACACUGACGCUGAGGCGCGAAAGCUAGGGGAGCAAACGGG